rfam:Glycine max cultivar Williams 82 chromosome 6, whole genome shotgun sequence.
ACAACAGUGAUGAGCCUAUAACAUGUAAGAAGAAAUCCCAACUUGGGUUUCUUCAAUGAAAUUUACUUGUUACGCUUGGCUUCUGAGCUUU